rnacentral:rRNA from 1 species
UCAGCUGUAAAAUAUUAACCCACACUCAAACCACCAGGGAAUUACGAGCCCAAGCUUAAAACCCAAAGGACUUGACGGUGUUCCAUCCCCCUAGAGGAGCCUGUUCUAUAAUCGAUUUUCCCCGAUCUACCUUACCGCCUUUUGAAUCACCAGUCUGUAUACCUCCGUCGUAAGCUUACCGUGUGAACGCACCCAGUAAGCCAAAAGAUACUUUACCCACACGUCAGGUCAAGGUGCAGCCUACAAAGCGGGAAGAAAUGGGCUACAAUCUCUACCUUAGAACAAACGGAAGACUGCAUGAAACACAGCCUGAAGGCGGAUUUAGCAGUAAAAAGAAAACAGAGAGUUCUUUUUAACCGGGCACUGGAACGCGUACACACCGCCCGUCACCCUCUUUAAACUAACCAAAAAGUUACUAACACUACAUAAUAAUACAGAAGAGGCAAGUCGUAACACGGUAAGCGUACUGGAAAGUGCACUUGGAACAAAAUGUAGCUUAAUUGAAAGCAUCUUGCUUACACCAAGAACAUGUCCGGAAACCUGACCAUUUUGAGCCCAGCCCACAGCCCUUCCACUCUUAAUAUAAUUCCCCUUAUUUACAAAUUAACUAAAACAUUUUCUUGGCUAAGUAAAGGCGAUCAAAAAGCUUCUAGGAGCCCUAACAACAGUACCGCAAGGGAAAAAUGAAAUAAAAAUGAAAUAAAUUUUAAGCACAAUAAAGUAGAGAACCCCCUCGUA